rnacentral:lncRNA from 1 species
AGGUUGCCUGAAUUUAAUGUCCCAUAUGUGCAGUUCCUGAAGUGGCCAGAAGAUGGUGAGCUAUUCCCCGGAAACUGAAGCUACAGAUGGCUGUGAGCUGCCUGGUGGGUGCUGGAAAUCAAACAGAGCUGUACUCCUAGCUGUGUUCCUAGCUGAUGGCAUCCCUCCUGUCUCAAGAAGGUGCUUUCUAAAGUCCCUGAUGGGGUAUGGACACACAAUCACAGGUGCCUACAGAUGCUAGAAGAUGAUGGCGGAUCCCCUGAAGCUGAGGUUAUACACAGUAGUGAUGGAAACCAAACUGGGGUUCUCUGCAAGAGCAGUAACUGCUGAGCCACCUAUCCAGCUCCCACUUUCAUACAAGUGUUCAUCUACAAACCCUCUCAAGUGAGUUUUGGAAAAUCCUACUCAAUAUGUGACACCCACCCCCACAUAGACAGUCGUGGGACCAUUAAAGGUUCUGAGGAGCCCCAGGA